GAUGGGAUACGUCGCAGGCAUCCAAGGUGUGCCCGGAGUUUAUACAUGGAUCGGUGGCUUCAUUCUACUCAUUGGAUUGUACAUUAUAAUUGAUGCCG
rnacentral:ribozyme from 1 species